rnacentral:pre_miRNA from 1 species
GCUGAGAUUUCGUCACACACCAGAACACAAAGACUGAUGAGACUCCCAAGAUAAGUGAAGCG